ensembl:lncRNA
CAUCCAGGUGCUCCAAAGGGGGAACCCUGGGGGAAGGGAGAGGGGAUCAAAUGAGACAAGCACACUUCGGGUCACUGAUUUACAGGUUCACCAUUUACUGGAUUCCAUGCGAAUAACCACGUGUUACUCUUUGCAGGUUCAGGCAUGAUACAAACACAGGUGCAUACGAAAACCAAAGUCCACCAAUCUUUUCUGGUUGUCGUUUUUCCCCACUUCUCUCUCUCCCCGGAGGGGCGCUCAGCUGAGCCGCAGCCUCCACGCAGAACGGUGUCGGUGCACUGAGGCAGCUCCUCGACCUCUGAUGCUUUGCAGCAUUUCUCACAUCAUUCAUCUUAAAAGCGGCGUCGGCAGCGAAGAGAGCGGCGUGUGAUGGCCGGGAGUGCUUUCAGCCUUUGGGGAGCAGCAGACGUUGUUCAGCGCCUUGCAGGAGCUGCUGGGGACCUCUCAGAUGCUGGCUUGGCUCGUCCUCUGCUGUGCCAUACAGAGCACCCAAGGAGCCCUUUGUGCCCCAUCUUCCGCAGUCACACAACAGCACGCACAGCCCAGGUGGGCUCAGCACGUUGGAUUUGGGAUGAGCAGCAGCACUCUGACAGUCCGUGCACGUUUUGCCAGAGCCCAUCCACCCCUCGGAGCCCACAAGUGGCACAAACCAUCCUGGGACGUUUGCUGCUGGAUGCUGUGCCUUACUUGAAGGACAGAAGCACACAUUACACAGCAAAGCCUACGCUCACCCUUAUACGCCCUCCCUCCUCCUGACCACCACCCGCCAUCCAGACUGCAUAAGGAUACAAAGAACAUACACUUGAGAUACAGUGUCCCAUCCAUCAGCCCGCUCUGUUGGGACACUGCUGGAGGUCCCAGCACGCAGGAGCACUGGGAAUGAAGGGUUCUGUGCUGGGCACCACAGCCCCGGGGGAUCGGAGGGACAUUGGCUGCUGGAUGGGAAGAGCUGCUCAACAGCAACAACUGCAGCACGCGGUCUGAGCCUUCCGCUUGGCCUGCCUUGUGAUUCAGAGACUCAACUUUCAUCUUGAAUAUAUAUAUACACGUGUAAUUUUAAUUGGCUGUAACGUCCUCAGAUAGUAACACAGUUAACAGAGUUGGGUGAAGGGCACAAGAGAAAAGGAACUCAAAACAAUGGGGGAAAAUUUGUGUGACUUGCUAACAGAAAUAACAUGUUCAUAAUUACAUCUGGGGGACCUAAGAGGGUCCCAUGGCAUUUCAGUAACCUUACUCACAACCUGAACCCCCCCCCUAGGAGAAGAAAGUACACUGUGAAGCACUGCAACCCUGCAGACAGCAGUUACUGCACUGCUGCAGGUGUGCUGAUUUCCUUCUGCUGCCUUUUCUCCUCAUACUCCUUCCGCCCACCCUACAAGAAACAGUCUCCAUCAUUGCAGAGGAGGAAAAGCCUCCUUGCACGUGCAAAGGAGUAACAGUGAGGCGGAGCACCUCACCCCAGCAGCACCGUGCAUGGUUGUAACACCAGAGUCCAUCACUCAGUUUGGGACCGGAGCAAAGGCCGGAACCAGUGCUUAACCUGAGCGCAUCCAACGCAGCCAGCAGAUCAGCUCCUAAAUGCAUCACGUGAACGUGGAUAUACGCUCAGAUCGAGGUCAUAUAACGAGAUGCUCCGACUAACAUCUGAUGCACCGGAUUCCUGGGAGCGUGCCGUGGGAUCAGCAGCACUGCCAGCACCCUGCAGGUACCCGUCGUGCUGCCCUGCACACCUGCAGGCUGCCAGCUGGGGCUCGUGAGCACACACAGCCACUGCUUGCUGCUGCACAGCUCGUGCAGCCAGGGGAGGGAGCGUUGGCAUGGCACGUAACUACAGCCAUGCUGCCAGACACCCGAAGCAAUGAGCACUGCGUUCUGCCCAGCUGGUACCACGGGCCUUGAUAUCAGAGCAGAGCACGCAGAGCAGAGGGCACAGGCCCCACCCCAGCUCUGCCACCUGCUGCUCGAUGGCAGGAAAAUCAGAGAGCAGGCAAUCCACGUCCCCAAUUAACUCUAUAAAAAGAUCUCGGACAGCAGCGUUAAUUCACCGAGCCCAACUCAAAGUGAGUCAGCCCCAUUGCAACCAGCCCAAAAUGGCUCCUAGCUGAUAAUAAAGGACCGUUUUUAACACAUUCAGCUUUUAUGAAGCUACUGUUGUUAUUAUUUUUCUUUUUUAUUGGCUAACAUUGAAGAUUCCAGCCGCAUAUAUAUCCCCCCCCUCCUCUAAAGAGAGAAUCAUUUUGUGCAGAAAAGACGAUCCUGAAAAACAGCCCAAUUAAACGUGCAACUAUUUGUAACCUUUUGUGUUACUGCAUGGGGUGGUGGAGGAGCAGCAAGGCUGGAAAACACAGCAUCGUGGGGAAAUGUAGCGUAUUAUUAGAUUUGAUGAGAUCCAUUUUCCUGAUGGCUUCUGAAAGAUCUCCGUGCUAAUUAGCUAAGAAUACCGCUGAAUUAUUUAAUUAUCUCUACUUUUGUGCCGUGAAAUAUGUUGUCAUAUCACACACGCUAUCUCGCCGUUGCUGCUCACACUUAAUGAUGCCUUUAUAGUUCGUGAUUUCCUUUGUUCUCCCCCUGUAAGUGGGUUUUGGUGGUGCUGGGGAGGGGAGGGUGCAGAGAAGGACGCAAAGCAAAAAUAUCUGCUUCAGAAGAAAAUCUGACAUGUGGGAAAACCUCCAUGCACUUCUCUCGAGCUCCGGUCCCCUUUGCCACACGCAGAGCAUGCUUUGCCUCCACAGAAUGUCUCGGUGCUGCAGCGGGGCUGCACUCAUUGCUAACACAACGGGGAGAGCUUUCCAAAGGAAGAGCAAAGAAAGCAUCGCCUGGCAAAAUUUUAAAGCAGCAAGGAGCGUUUUUAACAAGGAAGAGGUAGAUUAUGGUAAUGACUCUGACUGGUAGGGUCCUUAAGCAUUACUAAUUAGCAUUUAUUGCCUGGAUUAUUGAAACAAUGUGUGUGUUCCCAAGAGUGAAGAAGAACCGGGAUGCUCUUUCCUUCCGAGCGCUGGGAACGGGGCCGGGCAGCAGCGCUGUGCAGUUGGCAGUGGGUGAGCAGAGCUGCACGGUGCCAGCAGGAACCCACAGCCCCGCCAGCUGCUCCACCUCACAGCCGCGCUCCGCUCUGCUCCCAGGAAAGAAAAAAAAAAACCCAAAAUAAUAAUUAAAAAAUAGGGCAGCACAAAAGGAAAGCGGCCAUUAAAGCGCCCAACGCAUUUGGCAGCUGAGGAGCAGGUGAGCGUUUACCUGAUACUCUGCCUUCUGUUCCUACCGGGGCUGUGCGCAAACGGAUUAUGAAUAAACAUUUCAUCACGUUAAAGCACUGAGAAAUGAAAGAGUUAACAGCACUGACAGCAAGAGGUGCAGAAUUCUGCCAUUUGCAGCGAGCGCUCGGCUGCCUCGAGAUGACUUUGAGGCUGCAGUCAGAUUUCCUCCUAAGCUGCGCCUUCAUAGCAACAAAGAUUUAUAAGGAGAAUGAAGUUUUGAAUUAGAAAUCAAUUAGAAAUUAAUCGAUCAUCUAAUCAGCACUGGUCGCUACGCUCAGCUAUAGGAUCUCAGCUACAAUUUGGUGGCUGGCCCAAAAAAAUCCUUAUGCGCUUUGGAAAUGAUUCAGAAGGAAAAGACAGAGUUUCCUCCAGGUUUGGAGCCACGAGGCCAUGCAGCCUCACGUUAAAGCAAAAGGGCAGCGAUGGAAGAAAGGUGCAGAAAGCCUUGGAUUAUUUUUAUCCUCUAUGUCUUUUUACAGCCACCAAACCCGAGCGCCUUUCAACUUGGGAAAGCGAGUUCCAACUCAGCUGCAAGGAGGUCAGACUCCCAGAGCUGGAUGCUCCAGCUGCUGCUCAGACAGAACUCCCACAUAUCGGAGCUGUGCAAAACCGGAGGGUUGUUUUAUUUUUUUCUAAGUGCAAUAUUCCACAAAGACAGACGUUACUUUGUCCUCCGUGUCUCCCUUUAAUUAUCUGCAGGACGUGUUGCACAGAAUACUUGGGAAUGUGUUAAAUUAAAUGUCAGGAUGCCAUAUUCCAUAUAUCCCUAACUGCAACGAGCCCCAGCCUGGCAUUUUGUAGAGCUGAAUACGACCUUCGAUCCGCACCGAGCCCGAUUCCUUCUCUCUGUUAAUUCAACUCACGCCCAACACUUAUUUUUCUCUGCCAUUUUCCUUUUCAAACACAAAACUGCUUUUUGCCCACAGCUUGCUUUCAUUCUGGUUAAAACGCACCGGAAUGAAACCAGCACUGAAGGAACGGUGUCAGGCUGAGACGAGCUCUGCCUUUACCGCUACGGACACCACGCCAAAGCGAACCCCGAACACAACAUCCCUCCUUUUGUCUGCAGAAGGCAAAGAACGCCGCAGAAGCGCAGCGCUGAAGCGCAGCUCCCUGCCCAGCACUCCCUCCCAUCGGCUAUUAAUACCGCAGCUCCGUUCGGGGAACGCUGACAUUGGCGCAGCGCCCCGCGGAACCUGCGCUGGGGGCCGAGGGGCGAGAAAACGCCUUCCGUCUCACUCGUUCUGCCUGGAAAAGCAAAGGACGGGCAGCAAGGCCCGGAGCAGCCGCGCUGUCCCUUUAAGCCGCCAGCCCCUCUAAUUGAUGUGUCUGGGCGAGUCUAGACUGGUAGUGAUUGAACCCGCU